rnacentral:rRNA from 1 species
CAAGGAAUUUUCCCCAAUGGGCGCAAGCCUGUGGGAGCAACGCCGCGUGGAGGACGACGGCCUUCGGGUUGUAAACUCCUUUUGGGGGGGACGAUAAUGACGGUACCCCCCGAAUCAGCCCCGGCUAACUCUGUGCCAGCAGCCGCGGUAAGACAGAGGGGGCAAGCGUUGUCCGGACUGACUGGGCGUAAAGCGCGCGCAGGCGGUCUGAGGCGUCGGUGCUGAAAGUCCACCGCUUAACGGUGGGAAGCGCGCCGAUACGCUCAGACUGGAGGGCGGGCGAGGGUGGUGGAAUUGCCGGUGUAGUGGUGAAAUGCGUAGAGAUCGGCAGGAACACCAGUGGCGAAGGCGGCCACCUAGCCCGCACCUGACGCUGAGGCGCGACAGCGUGGGGAGCGAACUGGAUUAGAUACCCAGGUAGUCCACGCCGUAAACGAUGCCGACUCGGUCUUCGUGGGGCGAAUAGCCCUGGGGGGGCCCGAGCUCACGCGCUAAGUCGGCCGCCUGGGGACUACGG